UGAUUCAUGGCUCAGGACGAACGCUGGCGGCGUGCCUAAUACAUGCAAGUCGAGCGGACAGAUGGGAGCUUGCUCCCUGAUGUUAGCGGCGGACGGGUGAGUAACACGUGGGUAACCUGCCUGUAAGACUGGGAUAACUCCGGGAAACCGGGGCUAAUACCGGAUGGUUGUUUGAACCGCAUGGUUCAAACAUAAAAGGUGGCUUCGGCUACCACUUACAGAUGGACCCGCGGCGCAUUAGCUAGUUGGUGAGGUAACGGCUCACCAAGGCAACGAUGCGUAGCCGACCUGAGAGGGUGAUCGGCCACACUGGGACUGAGACACGGCCCAGACUCCUACGGGAGGCAGCAGUAGGGAAUCUUCCGCAAUGGACGAAAGUCUGACGGAGCAACGCCGCGUGAGUGAUGAAGGUUUUCGGAUCGUAAAGCUCUGUUGUUAGGGAAGAACAAGUACCGUUCGAAUAGGGCGGUACCUUGACGGUACCUAACCAGAAAGCCACGGCUAACUACGUGCCAGCAGCCGCGGUAAUACGUAGGUGGCAAGCGUUGUCCGGAAUUAUUGGGCGUAAAGGGCUCGCAGGCGGUUUCUUAAGUCUGAUGUGAAAGCCCCCGGCUCAACCGGGGAGGGUCAUUGGAAACUGGGGAACUUGAGUGCAGAAGAGGAGAGUGGAAUUCCACGUGUAGCGGUGAAAUGCGUAGAGAUGUGGAGGAACACCAGUGGCGAAGGCGACUCUCUGGUCUGUAACUGACGCUGAGGAGCGAAAGCGUGGGGAGCGAACAGGAUUAGAUACCUUGGUAG
rnacentral:rRNA from 1 species